rnacentral:rRNA from 1 species
GACGAACGCUGGCGGCGUGCCUAAUACAUGCAAGUUGAGCGCUGAAGGUUGGUACUUGUACCAACUGGAUGAGCAGCGAACGGGUGAGUAACGCGUGGGGAAUCUGCCUUUGAGCGGGGGACAACAUUUGGAAACGAAUGCUAAUACCGCAUAAAAACUUUAAACACAAGUUUUAAGUUUGAAAGAUGCAAUUGCAUCACUCAAAGAUGAUCCCGCGUUGUAUUAGCUAGUUGGUGAGGUAAAGGCUCACCAAGGCGAUGAUACAUAGCCGACCUGAGAGGGUGAUCGGCCACAUUGGGACGGAGACACGGCCCAAACUCCUACGGGAGGCAGCAGUAGGGAAACUUCGGCAAGGGACGAAAGUCUGACCGAGCAACGCCGCGGGAGUGAAGAAGGUUUUCGGAUCGUAAAACUCUGUUGGUAGGGAAGAACGUUGGUGAGAGUGGAAAGCUCAUCAAGUGACGGUAACUACCCAGAAAGGGACGGCUAACUACGUG